GCCUGGGUGGCUCAGUCGGUUGAGCGUCCGACUUUGGCUCAGGUCAUCAUCUCGCGAUUUGUGGGUACGAGCCCCAUGUCAGGCU
rnacentral:tRNA from 1 species